rnacentral:rRNA from 1 species
GACAGAGGGUGCAAACGUUUGUUCGGAAUUACUGGGCGUAAAGCGCGUGUAGGCGGCUAAGUAAGUCGGGCGUGAAAUCCCACGGCUCAACCGUGGAAGUGCACUCGAAACUGCAUAGCUAGAGUCCUGGAGAGGAAGGUGGAAUGCUUGGUGUAGAGGUGAAAUUCGUAGAUAUCAAGCGGAACACCGGUGGCGAAGGCGGCCUUCUGGACAGUGACUGACGCUGAGACGCGAAAAGCGUGGGGGAGCAAACAGGG